AUCCCCACGUCUCGUGUUGCCCUCUCUCCUCCCCAUUGCUCUUGUUUUCCCCCUGAUUUCUCUUUUCUAUUUUCCCCUUUGUGGUUUGACUAGGCGGUUUAUAGGGUCAUCCAAUUUUUAUUUGCAGGUGCUAAUCUUGCUGCAAGUUGUUGGCUGGGUCUCUUUCUCCCUAGGGAAGGCAUAGUAGACCUCGGGUAAAUCAAGGAUCUCGCGGUGGCUAUAGCGAUGCCCCUAUCAUCUCAUCCCUCUUUCUAUGUGCUUCUCUCCAUGGACAGCAUCGCCAUGGCCAGAUCGAUGGUUAAAGCCGUAGCAUUUUCCCUUGAUUAAGUUCAGAAGAUGGCGCUCGUUGCCAGCGGGAUCUCGAGGAACAUGUGACCUCCAUGGUGUUCACUGCCAGACGGUUUGGCAAGGAGGGGUAGCUUAUGCGGCGAUCUUUCUUGGGGAACCCUGGGCAACCGUCAUUCAGGUCUCCUACUAAAGCUCCUCCUCGCCACACGCCAUGUCUUCCACCCUGACAUAUUUCUUGCUCUUCUGGGCUUGUGGAAGUGGCCACUUAUGGAGGUUGAUUGAUUUGGUUGGUUCGAUAGGAUCCCAACCUGAGGAGAAUAAUGGUUUGGAGAUGGCUAGCGGUCUGUGGGGCAUCGACCAGACUGGCAGCGACCCCGAUGGAGGGGAAGGGCUCGACAGGCGCUUCCAGGCAGGAGAGGCUUGGGGGCCUCGUGGAUUGGGGAGAUGGCGGCCACCCGGGUUUCUUCGAUCGAUCUGCGAUCUGGACAGGGCCACGGCAACGCGAGCGUGGGGCGUAGGCGAGCGACCCUCUGCAGCCACGCGUUGACAGUUACCUGUCGAGACUAUAAGAAGAAUUUUGAGGAAGAAUUUGAUCAAGAAGACCAAGAUGGUUUGCUUUGGAGAGGAAUUAGAUGAGGCCCAUGAGUCCUAAAGAUAAUACAAUCAAUCCAACUGUUAACUUUGGUGUGCUUUUUGGACGGACUAAUAUGAAGACGCUGGCUAGCUCGCAUUGCCAUCAUAUAGUCUAGAAGCAAGGGCAAGGAUUAUAGGGAAAAUAAAGUUGAUAGGUGUAAUCAACAAUUUUCAGAAAACAAAAUCAAAUGCAGACUUGAGUAUUACUUGAGGGCGCACUGGAAAGGCUUCCAGAGCUAGGAGAAGAAACGGUUGAAGAAGAUAUGGUCUUGGGUGUUUCACAGGCAUCAGGUGUAAGAGUGCACGAAUGACAGUUUGCCCUUUGAAACGACGUACGCCGUACAGAAGCUU